rnacentral:rRNA from 1 species
AAACUUUCAACAACGGAUCUCUUGGUUCUGGCAUCGAUGAAGAACGCAGCGAAAUGCGAUAAGUAAUGUGAAUUGCAGAAUUCAGUGAAUCAUCGAAUCUUUGAACGCACAUUGCGCCCGCCAGUCAUUUCUGGCGGGCAUGCCUGUUUCGAGCGUCAUUU